rnacentral:rRNA from 1 species
GCAGGGACAAACACAAUGAUUGUACCUGCAAAGGAAGCAUCGGCUAACUACGUGCCAGCAGCCGCGGUAAGACGUAGGAUGCAAGCGUUGUCCGGAUUUAUUGGGUGUAAAGAGUUCGUAGGCGGUAAGCAAAGUCUAAUGUUAAAUCAUAGAGCUUAACUCUAUUCAUGCAUUAGAAACUAGUUUACUAGAGCAAAGUAGGGGUCAGAAGAAUUCCUGGUGUAGCGGUGAAAUGCGUAGAUCUCAG